AGGCCUUACUAUAAAUUAGAUGGCGAACGCUAGGGUUUUGCUCUAGUCGCACUCGGCACUCGCCUGUUAUCCAUCUGUUUCGCGAGGAUUCUUGAGCGUAGAUUUCGUGUUUCGUCAUGAGAGCCAAGUGGAAGAAGAAGCGGAUGAGGAGGUUGAAGAGGAAGCGUCGAAAGAUGAGGCAGAGAUCCAAGUAGUUUUCUUUGCUGAUUCCGGUCCUGGUCCCUUCCGCGUUCUAGUGUUCUUGUUUUUAGACGUAUUUUUGAUUUCGUGAAUUUCAAUUUGUAUUAGUACUAUUAAAUUUUGGAAUUACAGUUGAUACUUAUGCAUCCAAUCAAUUUAUAUUUCAAUAAUUUCCAAGUUUUAGUU